UUAUCACCUUGGCCAAGUUAUUUCUGUUUCUCAGAGAGUCAGUGUUCUCUCUGUAAAAUGGGAAGCUACUGUAUGGAAGCUAUUUCUUGGUGCUUUUGAGAAUUAAAUGAGUUAAAGGACAUGAAGUGUUUUUUCAAGCAUCUAACGGAGAACUUAAUUAAUAGUGUACUCAUCUAAAGGUCCCUUUGAUAAUCAUACUGCCCAGUAUUUGCCUGAGGCCUGGUGGGUGUUUGACCAAUGUCUGCUAGAUGAGUGGAUACAGACACACCUUGCUUGGGGGUCCAAGGCAAUGAGACCCACACAGAGAGGCUAGCUGUAUUUUGUUUGGUUGCUUCCAAAUGGAUCUUCCUAUUUCCAGGACGCAAGCUUCGUGAAACAUAAAUAGAUUGGUGCCUAGGUUCUUAAACCUGGUACCAAAAUAGCUACAUUCACUAUGAGAAACCUGCCUGCCUCUUACAAGCUAGUCCUUCCAGGUUUCACUUUUCUUGGCAUCAUUCUUAGUUCUGAUAUGUUUCUUCAGUUUCUUUAAUCACAUCCCAUCAUCUGCCUGACCUAUCUCUGUAACAAUCUCAUACGUCGAGAACACAACCUGUUCUUUCUUGCCAGGUAGAAAAGAAGUCAUCAAAGCUCACUUUCUUCCGUGAUUCCACCUUUAUGAGCUAUCUGCUUCUUCCGCGAAAUAUUAAUGCAAAAAGAGAACAUUGGUAAACAUUGGUAAAAUUUAUUAACUACCCUGAUUAAAGUACAGUGAAAGCGUCAACCACAUGACAACAAUGGUCGACACUUUGGAGGGUGUCUUUCUGCCUCACAGUGACCACAGGGGACAUCUCUGGACAGUGAGGAGAUACAUUACAACCCUGCUGCUGGCUGUCAUUGGCUGGAUCAAAACUGAGCCAAUCAGCGUUCCUGUCCAGAGAAUAUGGAAUUGGGCUGGGGAGGGCAGAAAAUCAUUGGGAGAAGAAAGGGAAGGAAUCGAGAGAGCACUUGAAAGUGUCCUGAAGGCUCGAACCAUAGCAGGUGAAUUUGAAAGAGAUGCCAAUAAAGCAUUAUGCAACUGUCAAUCUGAUAAUGGAAGUGCCACCGAAGAUUCAUAUUUAACAGCCACCAAAUGUAAUAGACAAUAGGGAAAGGUGGGGACCUGAAUUAACUAGCCAUGUUUGAGAAAAUAAUUGAGGCAAUAAAAAGAUCAAUAGGAAAUCA
rnacentral:lncRNA from 1 species